UGACAAUCCAGCAACAGAAGGAAUUGAAAAUAGUGUUCAAAACCCUGUAGCUCAGAAGAAGGUUUAAAAAAGUAUGGCUAUUACUCAUUGUUGUCUUCUGUGCGUAUAAAGUGCGUUCCCACGUCUAAAAUGGCUAGUAUGUAUCCAAAAUCCAAUGUGUUACUUGGAAUUUUAGCUUCAGGGUUGUGAAUCAUUUUCAUAUAUAUCUUUCCAGUAAAGAACUACGUCAGUAUAUGUGAAUGCAACUACCACCAAGAUUUAUUUCAGCUAGAGGAUGUGUGCAAGAGCCAAAGAGCAUUAGACCACAUUAAGACCACUAUCAACAAAAUUAAUAAGGACAAAGGUAAACUAUUAUUAAAUCGCAAGAAAGAACUGUAUGGGGACAACCUAGAGCCCAAGAAGUGGGCAAGCAAUGAAAUUGCUUUUGUUGAAGCUAUGACAGCCCAGACAGGUGAAAUGCUGAAGGAAAUUGCUAAAUAAUGAUAUUGAACACAUAAACAAUCAGUUAAGGAAAAGGUUGGAUGCUGCCUCUGUCGACGACUAUGAGAAAAGAGAAAAAUGAGCCAAAGAAUAAAAAUCAAAGACAAAAAAGAAAAGGAACAUUGUGGCAGCCAGAUGUAAAGUAUACCUCGAAAGUGACAUGUCAAGUGAUGAUAUGCCAAUUGACAUUUUAGAUAAUUAAACUGUUUUUAUUGUUUUUAUAGGGUCUAUAAAAAUUAGUCUACUUUUAUAUUAAAUAAAUAAAUAAAUGC